UGCAUCGGCUGGGAAUCGAACCCGGGCUGCCCGCGUGGCAGGCGAGCAUUUUACCACUGAACCAUUGAUGC
rnacentral:tRNA from 1 species